rnacentral:rRNA from 1 species
UUAUCCUCAUAAGUUUGACAAUAAGAGAAACCAUAAAAAAUUUAAAUUAUUAAUUUAAAUAAUAAUAUGGUAUAAUAAAAUCGGAGGCCACGACUGUUUACUAAAAACACAAUUCAGAGCAAUGAUUAAGAUAAUAGUAUUCUGGAUGAAAUUUGCUCAAUGCCAUUAAUAUAAGAGAGGUAAUUUUAAAGUUACUAAUCGAAAAUCUGGUUAAUAGCGGUCUUAACUAUGAGGAUCCUAAGGUAGCAAAAUAAAUUGGCCAUUAAAUGUGGUCUUGUAUCAAUAAUGUAACGAUGGUCUCACUGUCUCUACAACUUGCUCAGUGAAAUUGAAUUGCGAGUGCAGAUGCUCGCUAUCUUCAGAGGGACGGGAAGACCCUAU